GAUGAAGAACGCAGCGAAAUGCGAUAAGUAGUGUGAAUUGCAGAAUUCAGUGAAUCAUCGAAUCUUUGAACGCACAUUGCGCCCCUUGGUAUUCCAUGGGGCAUGCCUGUUCGAGCGUCAUUUGUACCUUCAAGCUCUGCUUGGUGUUGGGUGUUUGUCUCGCCUCUGCGUGUAGACUCGCCUCAAAACAUUUGGCAGCCGGCGUAUUGAUUUCGGAGCGCAGUACAUCUCGCGCUUUGCACUCAUAACGACGACGUCCAAAAGUACAUUUUUACACUCUUGACCUCGGAUCAGGUAGGGAUACCCGCUGAACUUAAGCAUAUCAAUAAGCGGAGGA
rnacentral:misc_RNA from 1 species